GGGUCAGUAGGUUGGUCGUGCCACCGGUACGUACUGGUCUCACUGAUUCCUCCUUCCUGAAUAACCGUAAUGCCAUUAAUUUGGUGUUGCGGGGAAACAGGACUGUUACUUUGAAAAAAUUAGAGUGUUUAAAGCAAGCUAACGCUUGAAUACAUUAGCAUGGAAUAAUGAAAUAGGACGAUCGAUCGUAUUUUGUUGGUUUCUAGGAUUGACGUAAUGAUUAAUAGUGAUAGUUGUG
rnacentral:rRNA from 1 species